CUCAAAAAGACAAAAAAAAAAAGAAAAAAAGAAAUCUUCAGAAUGGAAAUGAGACGCUGAGGCUGCCUAGACACUCCUGCGCAGGACCAGAGUCAGCGUCACGGGCCUGGAGCUCCAGCCGGUGUACCUGGUGUUGGGUCGGGAAGCUGUGGCUGGAUUCCCUCUUCAUGCACUCCUCUGUGGCCUGUAGGUAGAAGCAGGAAGAACUGGCUGAACCACAGUGGACACUUGUUUCAAGGUGGACCAAUCAGAAUUCCUUCACUGGGAAUUCAGUGUCAGGAGGUGCAGGAGAGAAGGAGCAAGAGGGACACCCAGACGGUGCGACUGCGGAUUUAACACUCAGGAGCACUGCAGUGGGCAUCUGACGUCUUCCCCAGGAUGAGCGCUUGGAGGCCCCUGACUGCUGGUUUCUGUUGAUGCUGUGUGUGAAUCCCUGGGAACUGCCCAUGUCACCUUUCCUCGCAAAAAUCACGCUUUGCAGAUGCAAUUCAGUUAAAGAUCUCGGGAUGGGAGAUUGGUGGAAUAACCUGGGAAGGUCUCAGUCACAGGAUAAGAGAGGCGCUGGACAGGAGGGGCGUCGGGGAAGAGCUGAUGGUGGAGGGAGGAGAAGGAGGGAGACGGGUUGGAAGCCGCUGCGUGGUGGCUUUGGCGUGCAGACACAGCGGCGGCAGGAGGCAGGCGCUUCUGCGAUCUGACAAGGUGAGCCGCUGGCUCUCCCGAGUGAGCACCAGACAGAGCCACCUCGGAAACCUCCCAGCGGCUUCUGCUCGGGGGGCCUCGGGGAGACACGGAGGGAAAGCUUCCCCAGAGCGGGGCAGGGGAGCCAGGCCAGGAGGGGGACAGGCUGGGGUGAACCGCGCCUGGCCUCCUGCUGGGUCAACCCUUUCCUGUGUGUGUAGGAGGAGGCAGCUUGCUGCCAAGCUCACUUAGUUUUACACAGACUCACUCUGGACGCUGGACCCAAAUGCGACUUGUUUUCAAUAGGAAAAUAAAAUGUCAAAGCUGU